GCCCACUGUCACUCUUGACACCUCUUUAGGACCACACAAAAGGAGACAUUUAGAUUAGGAAAUAAUGUCUGUUUGUUGAGAAUAAGGAACUCGGUGGCGACGCUGUGCUUUGUCUAAGCUACGGAAGGUUAUCGGGGCCACCCAGAGCCAGACAGACAGAUAAACCUGUGACCUUACAUAUGUAACUGAAGGUCCUGAGUCCUGACACUGCGUCUAGUUCAUCACGGCAGACCAGGGAGCAAAGGUCCUCUGACUGAGAGGGAUCAAGUCUGAGAGGGCCUGACUUAGUCUGAAAAUGUGCCCUCUACGCAACAGGAAGCUCUAUUCAUCCAUCGGAACCUUCUAUUGAAAAGGCCUGUAUGGCAGAUAGUCUGACACGUGAAAGAGUGAUCUAUGCAUGAAGUAUGCACGUCUACAAAUCAGAAAUGUGGUAUGCAGUGCACUCCUCCCUCAUCACGGCUCUCUAGUGUUCCCUCUCCCAGUCAGAACAACCCAGACGGGCUCUACUCCUCUUAUCAGAUGGAGCCAGGCAGGCAGGACAGGACGGGGCCAGUGUGGAUCCAGCUGCUCCCAGGAGCAGGGCGCAGUCCCACUUAAUAGGUCUUCCCGGCAUCCCAGGCCUCGCCCCACUGGCAUCCCAGUCACAGCCAGGCAGGCUACUCCGUGGGUGGCACGCCUUGGAAACAGGCGGCAGAGACAGAGGAGGUGGGUACGGGGGAGACUGGUAAAGACAACCCAGUCCGCCUGGUGUUCCAGAGAACUUUGCCGUUAGACCAAUUGCUUCCCGAGGACCAGUAAAAAGCAAUGGCUCCGACAUGGAGUCCCAUGACGCAUCAUGCUGAAUCUGAUCAGAACAUAUUGAGAGUUCAAAUGACACUUGCUUGAAUAUGCAGCUUGAGCUACAUCGAAAUGUUGUCAACGUUGAGCGAGUUUCUGUUUUCAUAUUGGUGGUGCUACCUGCUUAGAAGGCCGGUCAGGGUCUUGGUGUUCUAAAUCAUCCUAAUUGAUGGGUGUCGGAUGUGUUAGUAUUAUCAUAGGUGCUCUGAGAUUUGUCUCCAAAUAAAUAAAGCUUUAAUUUAUAAGCAUGGACGUAUAUUCAACUGCCUGCCUUGAGCAGAGUGUAAACAGCUUUUUAUGUUCCGUCUCUUCAUGUUCCUGCAUGUUCCCACCCUCCACCCCUUCCUCUCUUCAUGUUCCUGCAUGUUCCCACCCUCCACCC
rnacentral:lncRNA from 1 species